UUGCAUCACUUCCUCAAACACUGGACCAGAACGUAUACUAGAACUGUAAUCUAAAUACUAAAUCUAUUUCUUGUAGAGCUGUGUUGAUUUGCAGACGUGAAGAAAUAUUUACUGAAAUAGAAUGCCUUACAUUUACACUUAUCUUAGCUCCAGCUACUCUUGGUGCUUUCAGAUUUUGUGUCCUGUCAUUUAUUUACCAGCUGCCAUGCGCGGGAAACUGAAGGAAGAAGCAAUUUCGUACACCAACUUGGGCAGUGACAACCCUCUGUCUCAACUCAACACUGGCAAACAUUUUCUAUCAAGAGU
rnacentral:sRNA from 1 species